UAGUUGAGGGAAAGAGAGUUUUGGGGAGCCCUUCUCCUUGGAAUUCUAGGGAGAGGACAUCUUAUUCUUAUUGGAUCACGCACAGUGCCUGAAGCAUUCUGUUGCAUGUAGAAAUCAGUAAAUUGCAGAUGUAAGAUUCAAAACGAGACUUCACAUCUACCGACUUCAGUGAUCCUGAAAUUUGUCCACAGAGAGCAUUUAACAUAACUGUCUUCAUCAUCUCCUUCUCUAAUUAAAAACUAUGGAAAAUACAGGGAGGUGUGGUGUACCCAUUAUCACAAGCAGAUGGAAUCCCUAUAGAGUCAGAUCUCAUCUACAUAUCACCUAUUAUAUGUAGUUAUUGAUGGAUAAAUACUUCAACAACUAAAGGCAGAAAGAGAGCAGUUCACAAAGACAUUAUUGGUGAUUCAAUCUUGAGUCA
rnacentral:lncRNA from 1 species